rnacentral:rRNA from 1 species
GACGAACGCUGGCGGCGUGCUUAACACAUGCAAGUCGAACGGAAAGGCCCUGCUUUUGUGGGGUGCUCGAGUGGCGAACGGGUGAGUAACACGUGAGUAACCUGCCCUUUACUUUGGGAUAACUUCAGGAAACUGGGGCUAAUACCGGAUAGGAGCUCCUGCUGCAUGGUGGGGGUUGGAAAGUUUCGGCCGUUGGGGAUGGACUCGCGGCUUAUCAGCUUGUUGGUGGGGUAGUGGCUUACCAAGGCGUUGACGGGUAGCCGGCCUGAGAGGGUGACCGGCCACAGUGGGACUGAGAUACGGCCCAGACUCCAACGGGAGGCAGCAGUGGGGAAUAUUGCACAAUGGGCGGAAGCCUGAGGCAGCAACGCCGCGUGCGGGAUGACGGCCUUCGGGUUGUAAACCGCUUUCGCCUGUGACGAAGCGUGAGUGACGGUAAUGGGUAAAGAAGCACCGGCUAACUACGUG